UCCUCGUUAGUAAAGUGGUCAGUAUAUCCACCUGUCAUGUGGAAGACUGGGGUUUGAUUCCCAGAUGGGGAG